rnacentral:rRNA from 1 species
GUAUUUAACCAGAAAGUCACGGCUAACUACGUGCCAGCAGCCGCGGUAAUACGUAGGUGGCAAGCGUUAUCCGGAUUUAUUGGGCGUAAAGAGAGUGCAGGCGGUUUUCUAAGUCUGAUGUGAAAGCCUUCGGCUUAACCGGAGAAGUGCAUCGGAAACUGGAUAACUUGAGUGCAGAAGAGGGUAGUGGAACUCCAUGUGUAGCGGUGGAAUGCGUAGAUAUAUGGAAGAACACCAGUGGCGAAGGCGGCUACCUGGUCUGCAACUGACGCUGAGACUCGAAAGCAUGGGUAGCGAACAGGAUUAGAUACCCUGGUAGUCCAUGCCGUAAACGAUGAGUGCUAGGUGUUGGAGGGUUUCCGCCCUUCAGUGCCGGAGCUAACGCAUUAAGCACUCCGCCUGGGGAGUACGACCGCAAGGUUGAAACUCAAAGGAAUUGACGGGGGCCCGCACAAGCGGUGGAGCAUGUGGUUUAAUUCGAAGCUACGCGAAGAACCUUACCAGGUCUUGACAUCUUGCGCCAACCCUAGAGAUAGGGCGUUUCCUUCGGGAACGCAAUGACAGGUGGUGCAUGGUCGUCGUCAGCUCGUGUCGUGAGAUGUUGGGUUAAGUCCCGCAACGAGCGCAACCCUUGUUACUAGUUGCCAGCAUUAAGUUGGGCACUCUAGUGAGACUGCCGGUGACAAACCGGAGGAAGGUGGGGACGACGUCAGAUCAUCAUGCCCCUUAUGACCUGGGCUACACACGUGCUACAAUGGACGGUACAACGAGUCGCGAACUCGCGAGGGCAAGCAAAUCUCUUAAAACCGUUCUCAGUUCGGACUGCAGGCUGCAACUCGCCUGCACGAAGUCGGAAUCGCUAGUAAUCGCGGAUCAGCAUGCCGCGGUGAAUACGUUCCCGGGCCUUGUACACACCGCCCGUCACACCAUGAGAGUUUGUAACACCCAAAGUCGGUGGGGUAUACCUUUUAGGAGCCAGCCGCCUAAGUGACAGAAUGG